AACGAACGCUGGCGGCGUGGUUUAGGCAUGCAAGUCGAACGGUCCCGUUGCAGCAAGAAGGCCAACCGCAAGGAAGGCCGACGAGCAGCUUCGGGAUAGUGGCAAAAGGGUGAGUAACGCGUGGGUAAUUUACCUUCGAAUCGGGGAUAACUCGUCGAAAGGCGAGCUAAUACCGGAUAAGACCACAUCCGCCUCGGCGGAAGAGGUAAAAGAUAGCAUAUUUCUGACUUGUCAGAAGCUGUCGUUUGAAGAUAAGCCCGCGUCCUAUCAGCUUGUUGGUAAGGUAAUGGCUUACCAAGGCAUUUGACGGGUAGCUGGUCUGAGAGGAUGGUCAGCCACACUGGGACUGAGACACUGCCCAGACUCCUACGGGAGGCUGCAGCCGAGAAUCUGUCGGAAUGCCCGAAAGGGUGACGAAGCGACGCCGCGUGAGCGAUGAAGGCCUUCGGGUUGUAAAGCUCUGUUAGGUCGGAUGAAAUCCCCGCCUCGGGCGGGGGCUGACAGUACGACCAGAGAAAGCCACGGCUAACUCCGUGCCAGCAGCCGCGGUAAUACGGAGGUGGCAAGCGUUGUUCGGAUUUAUUGGGUGUAAAGGGCAUGUAGGUGUCCCAUCAAGUUUCUGGUGAAAUCCUUAGGCUCAACCUGAGAACUGCCGGAAAAACUGGUGGGAUUGAGUAUGGGAGAGGAGAGUGGAAUUCCCGGUGUAAGGGUGAAAUCUGUAGAUAUCGGGAGGAACACCAGUAGCGAAGGCGACUCUCUGGCCCAAAACUGACACUGAAAUGCGAAAGCUAGGGGAGCAAACAGGAUUAGAUACCCUGGUAGUCCUAGCCGUAAACGAUGGGCACUAGGUGUAUGUCUAUAUUAGAUGUGCGCCGUAGCUAACGUGUUAAGUGCCCCACCUGGGGAGUACGACCGCAAGGUUGAAACUCAAAGGAAUUGACGGGGGCCCGCACAAGCGGUGGAGCAUGUGGUUUAAUAGGAUGCUACGCCUGGAACCUUACCAGGGCUUGACAUGCUGGAAGUAGAAACCUGAAAGGGGGACGACCUGUCAAAUCAGGAACCAGCACAGGUGUUGCAUGGCUGUCGUCAGCUCGUGUCGUGAGAUGUUGGGUUAAGUCCCUUAACGAGCGCAACCAUCGUCCUUAGUUGCUAAUUCGCCUCUGGCGGAAGCACUCUAAGGAGACUGCCCGCUAUAAGCGGGAGGAAGGUGGUGAUGACGUCAAGUCAGUACGGCCCUUACGCCCUGGGCAACACACGUGCUACAAUGGCCUGUACAAAGGGUUGCCAAGCCGCGAGGUGGAGCUAAUCCCAAAAAGCAGGUCUCAGUUCGGAUUGAAGGCUGCAAUUCGCCUUCAUGAAGUUGGAAUCGCUAGUAACGGCGGAUCAGCUACGCUGCCGUGAAUACGUUCCCGGGCCUUGUACACACCGCCCGUCAAGUCACCUGAGUCGAGUGCACCCGAAGCCACUGGCCUAACUCGCUUCGGCGAGAAGGAGGUGUCGAAGGUGUGUUUGGUAAGGGGGGC
rnacentral:rRNA from 1 species